AGAGUUUGAUCCUGGCUCAGAACGAACGCUGGCGGCGUGCUUAACACAUGCAAGUCGAACGAGAAAGAGUUCCUUCGGGAGCUUGAGUAAAGUGGCGCACGGGUGAGUAACGCGUAGAUAAUCUACCCUUAUAUAUGGAAUAACUGAGCGAAAGCUCAGCUAAUACCGUAUACGCUUUUCUGCUCGCGAGGGCAGGGGAGGAAAGAUGGCCUCUGACAUAAGCUAUCGUAUAAGGAUGAGUCUGCGUACCAUUAGCUAGUAGGUGGGGUAAUGGCCUACCUAGGCGACGAUGGUUAGCGGGUCUGAGAGGAUGAUCCGCCACACUGGAACUGGAACACGGACCAGACUCCUACGGGAGGCAGCAGUGAGGAAUUUUGCGCAAUGGGGGAAACCCUGACGCAGCGACGCCGCGUGGGUGAUGAAGGCUUUCGAGUCGUAAAGCCCUGUCAAGUGGGAAGAACCGUCAAUGUGCUAAUACCACAUUGAUCUGACGGUACCACUAAAGGAAGCACCGGCUAACUCCGUGCCAGCAGCCGCGGUAAUACGGAGGGUGCGAGCGUUGUUCGGAAUUACUGGGCGUAAAGGGCGCGUAGGCGGCACUGUAAGUCAGAUGUGAAAGUCCAGGGCUUAACCCUGGAAGUGCAUCUGAUACUGCAGAGCUUGAGUAUCGGAGGGGAAAGUAGAAUUCCCGGUGUAGAGGUGAAAUUCGUAGAUAUCGGGAGGAAUACCGGUGGCGAAGGCGACUUUCUGGACGAAUACUGACGCUGAUGCGCGAAAGCGUGGGGAGCAAACAGGAUUAGAUACCCUGGUAGUCCACAGCUGUAAACGAUGUACACUAGAUGUAGGGGGUGUUGACCCCUCCUGUGUCGCAGCUAACGCAUUAAGUGUACCGCCUGGGGAGUACGGUCGCAAGAUUAAAACUCAAAGGAAUUGACGGA
rnacentral:rRNA from 1 species